GACGAACCGUCCUAACGUUGUUCGGAAUCACUGGGCUUAAAGGGCGCGUAGGCGGCUUGCCAAGUCAGGGGUGAAAUCCUGCAGCUUAACUGUAGAAGGGCCUUUGAUACUGGCGAGCUCGAGGGAGGUAGGGGUACGUGGAACUUCCGGUGGAGCGGUGAAAUGCGUUGAUAUCGGAAGGAACGCCGGUGGCGAAGGCGACUACCUGGCCUGUUCUUGACGCUGAGGCGCGAAAGCUAGGGGAGCAAACGGG
rnacentral:rRNA from 1 species